rnacentral:ncRNA from 1 species
UUCGGUCUGUUUAAACAUGAUUAACUCAGUGAAGAUGGAUUUUUCAGUCCUGCUGAGAUGCGAUGGUAAUGAGAUAGGUUGAUUCGGGAUACUGGAUUAACUGAUUCUUUCCAGCAGAAGUGAUUCUGUCGGUGGAGACGAACAUCGUCAACAAUGCCUUGCAGUGUAUCAUCAUAGAGAAGUCAAAUGCAGAAUCCUUGUGGUCGGCGUAGAAUAGACGCUUGCAGUGCAAGAAUAAUCCGGUGAUGUGAAGAUGGUGUGAGAGACCACAGACUAACUGGAAAUCUCAAAUAAGCUGAUUUGCCUUGAAUCUGAGAAAUCAGAGUAUAACACAAGAAAUUCGUUAAAGUAGCGGUAUGGCAAGUUCUUCAAUAAGCAGUUUUUCGAUGUUAGCAUAUGGAAUAAGGAAUGCAAGUAGAAAAAAACAUGAUCUGAAAGAACCGUGAAAUUUAUGGGUAUCAAUCCCAUGUGUGCUUUGACCGCGGUAAGAAGCCAAGGGUCGCGCCCGAACGCUCAGACUUAUCGUCACACUGGCAGAAUAUGACUGUAUCUUGAUGAAUAAGGGGAAGCCCUAGUCAUGUUUUUUAAAUAGA